rnacentral:rRNA from 1 species
UACGUAGGGAGCGAGCGUUAUCCGGAAUUAUUGGGUGUAAAGCGUGUGUAGGCGGUUAAAUAAGUCUAAGGUUUAAGCCCGGAGCUCAACUCCGGAUCGCCUUAGAAACUGUAUAACUUGAGUAUGGUAGAGGUAAACGGAAUUUCUAGUGUAGCGGUAAAAUGCGUAGAUAUUAGAAGGAACACCAGUGGCGAAGGCGGUUUACUGGGCCACCACUGACGCUGAGACACGAAAGCGUGGGGAGCAAA